rnacentral:misc_RNA from 1 species
GAUGAAGAACGCAGCGAAAUGCGAUAAGUAAUGUGAAUUGCAGAAUCCAGUGAAUCAUCGAAUCUUUGAACGCACAUUGCGCCCGCCAGCAUUCUGGCGGGCAUGCCUGUUCGAGCGUCAUUACAACCCUCAGGCCCCCGGGCCUGGCGUUGGGGAUCGGCGGAAGCCCCCUGCGGGCACAACGCCGUCCCCCAAAUACAGUGGCGGUCCCGCCGCAGCUUCCAUUGCGUAGUAGCUAACACCUCGCAACUGGAGAGCGGCGCGGCCACGCCGUAAAACACCCAACUUCUGAAUGUUGACCUCGAAUCAGGUAGGAAUACCCGCUGAACUUAAGCAUAUCAAUAAGCGGAGGA